rnacentral:rRNA from 1 species
GGCUCAGAUUGAACGCUGGCGGCAGGCCUAACACAUGCAAGUCGAGCGGAAACGAGUUAUCUGAACCUUCGGGGAAUGAUAACGGCGUCGAGCGGCGGACGGGUGAGUAAUGCCUAGGAAAUUGCCCUGAUGUGGGGGAUAACCAUUGGAAACGAUGGCUAAUACCGCAUAAUGCCUACGGGCCAAAGAGGGGGACCUUUGGGCCUCUCGCGUCAGGAUAUGCCUAGGUGGGAUUAGCUAGUUGGUGAGGUAAUGGCUCACCAAGGCGACGAUCCCUAGCUGGUCUGAGAGGAUGAUCAGCCACACUGGAACUGAGACACGGUCCAGACUCCUACGGGAGGCAGCAGUGGGGAAUAUUGCACAAUGGGCGCAAGCCUGAUGCAGCCAUGCCGCGUGUGUGAAGAAGGCCUUCGGGUUGUAAAGCACUUUCAGUAGGGAGGAAGGUUCAUGCGUUAAUAGCGUAUGGAUUUGACGUUACCUACAGAAGAAGCACCGGCUAACUCCGUGCCAGCAGCCGCGGUAAUACGGAGGGUGCGAGCGUUAAUCGGAAUUACUGGGCGUAAAGCGCAUGCAGGUGGUUUGUUAAGUCAGAUGUGAAAGCCCGGGGCUCAACCUCGGAAUUGCAUUUGAAACUGGCAGACUAGAGUACUGUAGAGGGGGGUAGAAUUUCAGGUGUAGCGGUGAAAUGCGUAGAGAUCUGAAGGAAUACCGGUGGCGAAGGCGGCCGCCUGGACAGAUACUGACACUCAGAUGCGAAAAGCGUGGGGGAGCAAACAGGAAUUAGAUACCCUGGUAGUCCACGCCGUAAACGAUGUCUACUUGGAAGGUUGUGGGCCUUGANCCNGNGGCUUUUCGGA